rnacentral:rRNA from 1 species
GACGAACGCUGGCGGCGUGCCUAAUACAUGCAAGUCGAACGCAGGGGGGACGGGUGAGUAACACGUGGGUAACCUGCCAUCAGAGGGGAUAACCCUUGGAAACAGGUGCUAAACCGAUAUUGGUGGAUGGAGCCGCGGUGCAUUAGCUAGUUGGAGAGGUAACGGCUAACCAAGGCGACGAUGCAGAGCCGACCUGAGAGGGUGACCGGCCAAACUGGGACUGAGACACGGCCCGGACUCCUACGGGAGGCAGCAGUGGGGAAUCUUGCGCAAUGGACGAAAGUCUGACCGAGCAACGCCGCGUGAGUGAAGAAGGUUUUCGGGUCGUAAAACUCUGUUGUUAGAGAAGCGGUAUCUACACAGAAAGCCACGGCUAACUACGUGCCAGCAGCCGCGGUAAUAC